rnacentral:rRNA from 1 species
UACGUAGGAUGCGAGCGUUGUCCGGAAUUAUUGGGCGUAAAGAGAACGUAGGCGGUUUCUUAAGUUUGGGCUUAAAGACUGGGGCUCAACCCCAGGAGUGGCUCGAAAACUGAGAGACUAGAGGAUGGCAGAGGAAAGUGGAAUUCCCAGUGUAGCGGUGAAAUGCGUAGAUAUUGGGAGGAACACCAGUGGCGAAAGCGACUUUCUGGGCCAUUCCUGACGCUGAGGUUCGAAAGCUCGGGGGGCAAACAGG